rnacentral:rRNA from 1 species
AUGGAAGCCAUUUUCUUGGUACGACAACUUAUGGAGAGAUAUAGGGAGCAUAAGAAGGACUUGCAUAUGGUGUUCAUUGACUUGGAGAAGGCCUAUGAUAAGAUACCGCGGAAUGUCAUGUGGUGGGCCUUGGAGAAACACAAAGUCCCAGCAAAGUACAUUACCCUCAUCAAGGACAUGUACAAUAAUGUUGUGACAAGUGUUCGAACAAGUGAUGUCGACACCGAUGACUUCCCGAUUAAGAUAGGACUGCACCAGGGGUCAGCUUUGAGCCCUUAUCUUUUUGCAUUGGUGAUGGAUGAGGUCACAAGGGGUAUACAAGGAGAUAUCCCAUGGUGUAUGCUCUUUGCGGAUGAUGUGGUGCUAGUUGACGAUAGUCGGACAGGGGUAAAUAGGAAGUUAGAGUUAUGGAGACAAACCUUGAAAUCGAAAGGGUUUAGGCUUAGUAGAACUAAAACCGAGUACAUGAUGUGCGGUUUCAGUACUACUAGCUGUGAGGAGGAGGAGGUUAGCCUUGAUGGCCAGGUGGUACCUCGGAAGGACACCUUUCGGUAUUUGGGGUCAAUGUUGCAGGAGGAUGGGGGUAUUGAUGAAGAUGUGAACCAUCGAAUCAAAGCCGGAUGGAUGAAGUGGCGCCAAGCUUCUGGCAUUCUCUGUGACAAGAGAGUGCCACAAAAGCUAAAAGGCAAGUUCUACAGGACGGCGGUUUGA